rnacentral:lncRNA from 1 species
AUUCAAUUACACAUGGCUGGUUCACGACUUCUGAGACUUGCGUUUAUGAUUCGAAGAGUGAAAACGGAUACCAGUCAACUACAUACACACGCGUUUGUUUAUUCCUUUGUGUGUUGGAAAUUAUUGUUGGUCCUUCUGUCACUGUCCGUAAUUUAGCGAUUUGCCAAGCAAGCAGCAGAUGGAGUAGAGCAGACCUCUUUUCUCGACUGCAGUGGCUUGGCAUUGGAUGCCCUAAUAAGAAGAUUGACUUGACUUUUUAAUGCGAUUCCGUGUAUCACACAACUUACAAGACAAUAUGUUUCAUUUAAUCUAUGAUCAUAUUUAGGAUACAUGUUAAUGACCAUUGUAAGAUUGUGUGUAACAUACAAGACUUGGGCCACUUGCAUCAAGGUCAAGUUCAGAUAUAGAAUUCAGCUGCAUACAGUCUACCACAUAGCUAAUAAACCCUAUGAAAGGAGCUGUCGGUAUUUCCAUGGUGCAGCUAUCACCAGUUUCAAAAUGGAAACAGAUGGUGAGUCUCAAGCGAAAAAGAAAAGUGGACCUCUCCUAACAACUUAAAAGGAGAACAUUAUCUUGCAUAGCAUUUUUCUCCGAAGGGAUUGAUUCAAACAAGCACAUUGUGACAAGUAUCCCACUGAAGGCAAGUUCUACAACAAGGAGACGGACUCCACUGGUGGUCAAUAUAUCGACGUUCAAAAAGGGCUUAAAUUUGUUUACCGAUCAAAACUAUGCCAUAAGACAUGAAUCACCCUCCAAUUAAAACAAAACAUAUGGAGAAUGUGGAGUCACUUUCAAAUCAAGUAACAAUUUAAGAUAUGAGACGAUUCUAAUGACGACAAUGAAUAUGGAGAAGUAUAAUGUACUUGAAAAUGUUUAAUGGAAAUAGAGGAAUGUGAAACUUCUUUGUAUUUAUUUGGUUCUCAUGAAGGCUUUGUCAUUGAUAAGGCUGGCAGAUAAGUUGAUUUAUUUCUUUGUUUUCAACAAAAAGAAAAGUUGAAAAGUCUAAAUUUAAGCAUUUUAGGAGUACUAAAAGAUGUUAUAGAAAUAUUUGAGAUAGAAUGUAAAAACUGGCCCUUCUUAGGGUCUGCUAAUUUAGGGCUAAAAUAAAAUAAAAACAUAUAA